UACGUAGGUUGCAAGCGUUGUCCGGAAUUAUUGGGCGUAAAGAGCUCGUAGGCGGUCUGUCGCGUCGGCUGUGAAAACUCGGGGCUCAACCCCGAGCCUGCAGUCGAUACGGGCAGACUAGAGUGCGGUAGGGGAGACUGGAAUUCCUGGUGUAGCGGUGAAAUGCGCAGAUAUCAGGAGGAACACCGGUGGCGAAGGCGGGUCUCUGGGCCGUAACUGACGCUGAGGAGCGAAAGCGUGGGGAGCAAACAGG
rnacentral:rRNA from 1 species